CAACCCUCAAGCUCUGCUUAGUGUUGGGCGUCACCAGCCUUAGUGUGCCCUAAAAUCAGUGGCGGCGCUGUCUGGCUCUAAGCGUAGUACAUACUCUCACUAUGGACGCCUAGCGGAUGCUUGCCAGCAAACCCCUAAUUUAUCAA
rnacentral:misc_RNA from 1 species